rnacentral:tRNA from 1 species
UAUCUCCAGUGAGAUUUGAACUCACCUUUUAGCUGUGAAAGAGCUAUGUCCUAACCCCUAGACGAUGAAGAC